UAAACUGGGAUUAGAUACCCCACUAUGCUUAGCCAUAAUCACUAGAUGUUAACUUACAAAGACAUCCGCCCGGGUACUACGAGUACAACUUAAAACCCAAAGGACUUGGCGGUGCCUCAGAUCCCCCUAGAGGAGCCUGUUCUAGAACCGAUAACCCCCGUUCAACCUUACCAUCUCUUGUUUUUCCCGCCUAUAUACCGCCGUCGUCAGCUUACCCUAUGAAGGAGCAAUAGUAAGCAAAAUGAAUAAGAUUCAAAACGUCAGGUCGAGGUGUAGCGUACGAGAUGGAAAGAAAUGGGCUACAUUUUCUACUACAGAACACCACGAAUAGUGCUAUGAAACAAGCACUUGAAGGCGGAUUUAGCAGUAAAAAGCAAGCAGAGUGUACUUUUGAACUAGGCUCUGAGGCGC
rnacentral:rRNA from 1 species